rnacentral:rRNA from 1 species
UACGUAGGGGGCGAGCGUUGUCCGGAUUUAUUGGGCGUAAAGAGCUCGUAGGCGGUUCGAUAAGUCGGACGUGAAAUCUCCACGCUCAACGUGGAGGGGCCGUUCGAUACUGUCGUGACUCGAGUCCGGUAGGGGAGUGUGGAAUUCCCGGUGUAGCGGUGAAAUGCGCAGAGAUCGGGAGGAACACCAAUGGCGAAGGCAGCUUGCUGGGACGGUACUGACGCUGAGGCGCGAAAGCGUGGGGAGCAAACAGG